GGAGAAGUACUCAAGAGGCUGAAGAGGACGGUUUGCUAAACCGUUAGGGUUCAUUUAGGGCCGCAUGGGUUCGAAUCCCAUCUUCUCCGCCA
rnacentral:tRNA from 1 species